CCCUUAGAUGUUCUGGGCCGCACGCGUGCUACACUGAGUGGAUCAGCGGGUCAGGUUGCGCGAAAGUGUUUCCUAAUCUUGAAAUCCGCUCGUGAUGGGGAUUGACGGUUGCAAUUUUCCGUCAUGAACGAGGAAUACCUUGUAAGCGCGGGUCAUCAUCCCGCGCUGAAUACGUCCCUGCCCUUUGUACACACCGCCCGUCGCUCCUACCGAUUGAGUGGUCCGGUGAGGCUUUGGGAUCUGAGCGGAAAGAGCGUUUCGCUGUUUCUGCUCGGAAAACUCAGUCGAACCUUAUCAUUGAGAGGAAGGAGAAGUCGGAACA
rnacentral:rRNA from 1 species